GGCGAACGCUGGCGGCGUGCUUAACACAUGCAAGUCGAACGGAAAGGCCCUGCUUUUGUGGGGUGCUCGAGUGGCGAACGGGUGAGUAACACGUGAGUAACCUGCCCUUGACUUUGGGAUAACUUCAGGAAACUGGGGCUAAUACCGGAUAGGAGCUCCUGCUGCAUGGUGGGGGUUGGAAAGUUUCGGCGGUUGGGGAUGGACUCGCGGCUUAUCAGCUUGUUGGUGGGGUAGUGGCUUACCAAGGCUUUGACGGGUAGCCGGCCUGGGAGGGUGACCGGCCACAUUGGGACUGAGAUACGGCACAGACUCCUACGGGAGGCAGCAGUGGGGAAUAUUGCACAAUGGGCGGAAGCCUGAUGCAGCAACGCCGCGUGCGGGAUGACGGCCUUCGGGUUGUAAACCGCUUUCGCCUGUGACGAAGCGUGAGUGACGGUAAUGGGUAAAGAAGCACCGGCUAACUACGUG
rnacentral:rRNA from 1 species